CAAGGCUAGAAAAAAAAAUAAAUAAAAGGCAGCCUUCUUGAGUAAAAAAAAGCCAAGGCUAGAAAAAAAAUAUCGAGCGAAAAAUAGAAAUGAUAAAAGAAAGCUCAAAAGAAUAAGUUGACUUGGUUAGAUGGUCACUUGGUUAGAUGGUCGAAAAAUCUCAUGUUUGGGUGUUGAGCUGUGAGAAAUUUGUACGCAUUGACUGAGAUGUGAAAGAUGUUGUGAUGGAUGUGCUAGUAUUUUAAGAAUGGUGGUAAGCUACUUAACCAUAUAUUAUCCCACCUUUACCAAAAGCCCCGUUACAUCCCAAUGAAUAAGACCUUUUCAUUUAUGCAUCAUAUUGACUUGUGAGCGAUGAAUUUUGCUUGAAUUUGGGAGAAAGAUCUUAUGUGCUUAAAAUAAAGAAUAGCCGGAAGAACUUCCCUUUAGGAAUUAGUAACGAUGGUUUGAGACUCCCAAGACACAACUCGAACUUAUAUUCAAGCAUGGGAUGCCUAGGUCUUAAGGAAUUAGUUCGUGUACAAUUCUUGUUCGAAAGUUUUACCCGCGAGUGAAUUCACGGUCGACCUAAUUUCCCUACUGAUUCGUUAGCGUGACUUGAAGGAGAGGAUUAUCUAAUAUCUUCUGACUGUGCUUUAUUGUCUAACUUGCUCGAGGGCUAGCAAGACUUAAGUUAUGGGGGUGUUUGAUGUGAGUGGGUAAUUGUCUAACUUGUUCCUCGGAGUAUACAAUGGAAUGGAGGGUAGCGUAUUACUGCUCCAAGUUGGUCUUGCUGUCUCCAAAAUCUGAAGAUCACGAUACCAGGAUGUGUGGAAAGAAUUUCUAUUUGAGUCAGAUUAAAGAGAUGUGUGCCAAUCCUAUUUGAGGCGACUGAGAUAAUUUCUAGAGCACUCAUUUCAGCUGGAAUCACAAACAGAGUUGACACCGAUGAAUGGAAUCCAUCCACUGAUACACAUCUUCCUCGAUUGAUAACCUCUCUGGAAAUGUUGUGAUACACCCAAAAUUUUAACUAUUAUUCCAGCAGUUGUGUUUGUCUACGACAGUUUGAUCAACUAGCACGGGACCAAGUUUUCUAUAGAUUGCAAACUUGAGUUUGCUCGUACUGCUUGCUCAUCUAAAUUCUGCUGCUGGGCUGCGCUGCAAGCAAAACUCGUUCCUUUGUUGAGAGCUCUACUUUACUGUUGAUCAGUUCCAGAGAUGUCCACUGUUCUUCAAUAACCAUGUUCGAGCCUUGUUUCCAUUCAAUAUACAUCCAACACAUGUUAUCCCAGCUAGCCAUAUUCUUGCCAAGUCUCUCUUCUCAGCCCUCUUACAAUCACUGCUCUUGAGGGCAAAUAAAAUCAAACUCAGGGGAGAAAGCUUUGGUUCUGCUUUCGGAUAGAAGUGUAGUGACAGUUUCCACAGAAGACCUUCUACCAACUAAUCCUCGGAUACUUGACUAAGUUGAUGAUCUUCCACAACUAAGUUAUUUGAGCGUUUAGUUCUUCACAAUCUUCAAUAUAGAUAUUUACAAGAUAAUUUAAAUAGAAUGGCAGGCUCUGGAUUUUUGUCCGUCAAUCCAUAUAAAAAUGUCUAGGUAUAUGGGGAUGAUAAAGAAAGAAGCUUUUGGACACUCCUCAUGCUUAUGCUGUAGCUGAUGCGGCAUACAAUGCAAGGAUAGCAGAUGAAGUAAGCCUGGCUAUAAUUAUCAGUUUAAGCUGAAAAGGUUAAGAGAGUGGACGGAAGGGGCACAAAAUGAGGAAAUUGACUGAUAAGAAAGGAGGGAGGUGCAAAAAAAGAAAAAAAGAAAGAAAAAAAGAAAAAAAAGAAAGGAGGUGCAAAAAAGAAAAAGAAAAAAAAGUAAGAUGGAGAUGCAUGCAAAAAUAGAAGAUAAAGCGUUGUUGGUGGAGAUGGAAUCAAGAACUGUUACAAGGGAGAAAAGGAGUUGAUAUAGGAGAGGAAUGAGGCUGACAUAGGGGGGAACAAGAUGAGGAAGUUGCCUGAUAAGAAAGAAGGAGAUGCUAAAAAUAAGAAAGAAAGAAAGAAGGAGAUGCACGCAAAGAAAGAAGAUAAAGAUCUGUUGGAGAGAUGAAAUCAACAACCUCAUGAACUAUUACAAGGGAGAAAAGGAGUUGAAGUAGGAGAGGAAUAGGCUGACACAGUUCUGAACAUGCAAGGGAAGAAGAGAAAACUGCCCAGUCUAGGACAUGCUCCAGAUCCCAUGACGUGCAGAAGCUGACCAACACAAGGUAGUGACAGUUCCACACAAGACCUUCUACCAACCAAUCCUCGGAUACUUUACUAAGUUGAUGAUCUUCCACAACUAAGUUAUUUGAGCGAGCCUUUAGUUCUUCACAAUCUUCAGUAUAGAUAUUUACAAGAUAAUUUAAAUAGAAUGGCAGGCCCUAUAUUAUUGUCAGUCAAUCCAUUUAAAAUAUCCAGCUAUAUGGGGAUGAUAUAGCAAGUAGCUUGCUGAUGCAACAUGCAAUGCAACGAUAGCAGAUGAAGUAAGCCAAGCUAUAAUUAUCAGAUUUAUUUGCUACCACUUGGUUUGGUACUCUGUUUAAGUUAAAGGUGAAAUGGAAAGAGAGUGAAUGGAGGGACAAAAUGAGGAUGUUGGCUGAUAGAAAAGAAAGAGAUGCAAGCAAAGAAAGAUGAAAAAGAGCUGUUGGAGAAGAUGAAAUCAGUAACCUCAAAAACCGUUACAGAGGAUAAAAGGGUUGAAAUAGGAGAGGAAUGAGGCUGACACAGUUUUGGAGAUGCAAGGGAAGAAGAGAAAUCAAGACAGGCAAAUGAGAAUGCAUACUUGACAAGGGAAAACUAGUGCCUGCAUUGUGGAGUACCACUAGCUGACAUCACAGGAUCACUCAUCUACUUAUGAGGGCUUGCGAUAGAGAAUGCAGCUUGAUUUUUUCUCUCUAAUAAAGGCGAUGAAGAUGGGAUUUUCAACAGAGUUAACAACACCCCUGACAGAUAUUUUGGGAUUCUCUAAAUCCUGGAUGAGUGCUUUGAUGAAGAACAGAAGUAGGCUUAGUUUGCCCUUAAUUUGUUUGGGAACCUUAGAUUCUAUCAGAAUUUGUAAAGAAGACUAGAAACAUGCCUUCGAGAAGCUUGCUGCCGUUUUGUGACUGGGAACAUAUCAUUUCUUGUAACUGAUAAUCAAAAGCACAUCAAGGUUGUCUCUGAUGAAGCUAUUACAAAUGCUACUGGCUUGAUUGGCUCUAGUGAGAAAGACCUGAUUCUGACAAGAUCAGCCCGGAGGUCACCGAAUGUCUGACACAUGAACAGGCAAUCGACACAAGAGAUGCAUUGGCAAUGUUUAUUUAUGUGAGCAUGUUCGACUGGCUUGUGGAGAAGAUAAACUUGUCACUUUCCUAGGGGAAAGGUGAUAUGGGGUGUUCAGUAAGGAUCCUUGAUAUGGAUUUGAGU